rnacentral:rRNA from 1 species
CCCUUAGAUGUCCUGGGCCGCACGCGCGCUACACUGAUGCAUGCAACGAGUUUAUAACCUUGGCCUGAAAGGUCUGGGUAAUCUUUUGAACGUGCAUCGUGAUAGGGAUAGAUUAUUGCAAUUGUUAAUCUUGAACGAGGAAUUCCUAGUAAACGCAAGUCAUCAGCUUGCAUUGAUUACGUCCCUGCCCUUUGUACACACCGCCCGUCGCACCCACCGAUUGAAUGACUCGGUGAAAUAUCGGGACCGUUGUCUGGUUUGAUUCAUUUCGAACUAGAUAGUGGGAACUUUCUUGAACCUAUUUAUUUAGAGGAAGGUGAAGUCGUAACA